CCUACGCGAACUGCAGUGGGGAAUAUUGGACAAUGGGCGAAAGCCUGAUCCAGCCAUGCCGCGUGUGUGAAGAAGGCCUUCGGGUUGUAAAGCACUUUCAGUGGGGAAGAAAGCCUUGGGGCUAAUACCCUCGAGGAAGGACAUCACCCACAGAAGAAGCACCGGCUAACUCCGUGCCAGCAGCCGCGGUAAUACGGAGGGUGCGAGCGUUAAUCGGAAUUACUGGGCGUAAAGCGCGCGUAGGCGGUCUGAUAAGCCGGUUGUGAAAGCCCCGGGCUCAACCUGGGAACGGCAUCCGGAACUGUCAGGCUAGAGUGCAGGAGAGGAAGGUAGAAUUCCCGGUGUAGCGGUGAAAUGCGUAGAGAUCGGGAGGAAUACCAGUGGCGAAGGCGGCCUUCUGGACUGACACUGACGCUGAGGUGCGAAAGCGUGGGUAGCAAACAGGAUUAGAUACCCGGGUAGUC
rnacentral:rRNA from 1 species